AUGCAGACGGAGGCCCCCGCGCUUCCUGCACGGACCUGGCUGGUAGGCUGCAUUGUGUACCGCGACCUGCCGGAUGGAGCUCCAGAAGUGGACGUGAGAGUUUAUGGAAAGCCGUACUGGCCCAUCCUGGACUCCGGCAGUGCGGUCACUCUGGUACCGUCUUAUAUUCUCGCCCCACGAGUGGAAUAUAAAACCUUCCUCCCCAUAACCUGUGUCCAUGGAGAUACACGACAAGUUCCAGCUCACAGAGUGACUAUUUUUGCCACUCCUGGUGCCUGGCCUUUGGAAGUUGGGGUGAUGAAGGAUCUUCUCGUCCCCGUGCUGAUCAGGAGAGACUGGCCUGGUUUUGACCACCUGCUGGCAAAGGCUACGCAGCCUGUUAGCCCAAGAGGGGGCCACCAAAGAAGGAGGCCCACGAAAGGACCUCAUCAGCGCCCCGUUCUCCUGGCCUCAGACAGCGGGAGAGAAGGUGAGUCCCCCUCCCAAAAUCCUAACCUCUUCUAUGAUGUGUUCAUUCAGAAAGGAACAACGCGAGGACGACAGGCUGAAGCAUUGCUGGACACAGGUCCGGGUCAUCAAAGGCAAGGAAGCUCAGCCUGGCCCCCACCCUCUCCUGCAUUUCAUCGUACAAAACGGCCUGCUCUAUUGUGUCACGCAUCGAAGUGGGGAGGAAAAAUUAUUGUUGAUGCCAUGCACAAAGACGGAGACUGUACUGGAGCUGGCCUACUCACAUCCCUUGGCAGGGUAUCUCGGGGCACAAACACCAUCCAGCGGAUCCGCGACCACUUUCACUGGCCGGGCUUGGAGGCCGAAGUAAAGCGGUUCUGCCAACCCUGCCCGACCUGCCAAGUGACAUCACCCAGGACGCCUCCCCCCAGUCCGCUGAUCCCGCUGCCCAUCAUCGAGGUGCCCUUCGAGCGCAUUGGGAUGGACCUUGUGGGGCCGUUGCCCAAGUCUACCCGGGGACAUGGACACAUAGUGAUUGUCGACUAUGCCACCCAGUACCCAGAGGCAGUUCCCCUCCGAAAAGCCACCGCCAAAGCCAUCGCCCAGGAGCUCUUCCUGCUCUCCAGCCGAGUCGGCAUCCCAGCGAUAUCUUGA
ensembl:lncRNA